rnacentral:misc_RNA from 1 species
AGUCACUGAAGUUGCAACAUACCUACAGAUGGGACAUCCAUCACAAUCAUAAUAAAAAUACAGGAAUGGAGGUCCCUAUUUGCUUCAAACUACUAAGAAGAAAAUGCAAUUUUGAAUCCACAAAUCUAUGCAUUUAAAUAUAUAGAAGUAUGCCAGUGCACUUUCAUGCAUUUCAAAAACAAAACCACAAUCAUGCUCAAAAUACCUCCUAUAUUGGCUCUACCAAAGUUUCUAUUAAAA